GUGAGUCAUCGAAUCUUUGAACGCACAUUGCGCCCGCCAGUACUCUGGCGGGCAUGCCUGUUCGAGCGUCAUUUCAACCCUCAAGCUCUGCUUGGUGUUGGGGCUCGGCGUAGCGCCCUCGGGCGUCGCCGUCCCCUAAAUCUAGUGGCGGUCCCGCUGUAGCCUCCUCUGCGUAGUAGUUUUCUCCUCGCACUGGAAUCUCGGCGGUGCCCUGCCGUAAAACCCCCAACUUACCGAAAUGUUGACCUCGAAUCAGGUAGGAAUACCCGCUGAACUUAAGCAUAUCAAUAAGCGGAGGA
rnacentral:misc_RNA from 1 species